GUAGAAAGGCUCCUUCACAUCAAACCCGAUUAUACAUCACUUCGUGUCUUUGGGUGUGCGUGUUGGCCAAACCUUAGACCCUGCAACAAUCGUAAACUUAUGUUUCGCUCGAAACAGUGUGUCUUCUUGGGAUAUAGCCCUCAAUAUAAAGGAUUUAAGUGCAUUGAUGUCUCCACUGGACGAGUCUAUAUCUCUAGAGAUGUCGUGUUUGACGAGACAAAAUUUCCCUUUGCUGAUCUACAUCCAAACGCCGGUGCUCUUCUUCGCCAAGAAAUUCUCCUUUUGCCAUCACAUCUAGUAGGUGCCUCUAGGGAAGAUAACUGUAAUGAUCACAUGCCAACUAAUCCUCAUAACAGUUUGCUUAAGCUAUGUGAUGAU
rnacentral:rRNA from 1 species